UGCCAGACUCCUACGGGAGGCAGCAGUGAGGAAUAUUGGUCAAUGGCCGGAAGGCUGAACCAGCCAAGUCGCGUGAGGGACGACUGCCCUAUGGGUUGUAAACCUCUUUCAUAAGGGAAGAAUAAAUGCUACGUGUAGCAUGAUGCCUGUACCUUAUGAAUAAGCAUCGGCUAACUCCGUGCCAGCAGCCGCGGUAAUACGGAGGAUGCGAGCGUUAUCCGGAUUUAUUGGGUUUAAAGGGUGCGUAGGCGGUUUUUUAAGUUAGUGGUUAAACGUCGGGGCUUCACCUUGAUUUGCCAUUAAUACUGUAAGACUCGAGUUCAGACGAGGUAGGCGGAAUAAGUUAAGUAGCGGUGAAAUGCUUAGAUAUAACUUAGAACUCCGAUAGCGAAGGCAGCAUACCGGCGGCGAUCUGACGCUGAGGCACGAAAGCGUGGGUAUCGAACAGGAUUAGAUACCCUAGUACA
rnacentral:rRNA from 1 species